AGUGAACGCUGGCGGUAGGCCUAACACAUGCAAGUCGAACGGCAGCACAGUAAGAGCUUGCUCUUACGGGUGGCGAGUGGCGGACGGGUGAGGAAUACAUCGGAAUCUACUUUUUCGUGGGGGAUAACGUAGGGAAACUUACGCUAAUACCGCAUACGACCUACGGGUGAAAGCAGGGGAUCUUCGGACCUUGCGCGAUUGAAUGAGCCGAUGUCGGAUUAGCUAGUUGGCGGGGUAAAGGCCCACCAAGGCGACGAUCCGUAGCUGGUCUGAGAGGAUGAUCAGCCACACUGGAACUGAGACACGGUCCCGACUCCUACGGGAGGCAGCAGUGGGGAAUAUUGGACAAUGGGCGCAAGCCUGAUCCAGCCAUACCGCGUGGGUGAAGGAGGCCUUCGGGUUGUAAAGCCCUUUUGUUGGGAAAGAAAAGCAGCAGGUUAAUACCCCGCUGUUCUGACGGUACCCAAAGAAUAAGCACCGGCUAACUUCGUG
rnacentral:rRNA from 1 species